rnacentral:lncRNA from 1 species
GGGAUACCACUGUUUCAAAAGGUGUCUAAAAGAAAAAAUCAAACUUUGUUAGAUAUGGUUCGAUCCACUAUGAAUUUUGCUGGUCUGCUUGAGGUUAUAUUUUAGAGAUUACUUGAUAUAUGCUCGAGAACAUUUUGAGCAAAUCAGUUACCAAAACUCCAUAUGAGAUAUGGAGCUGGUUAAUUCGAUGUUCUCUUAUCUUAGGGUUUGGGAUAUCG